CGCUAUUAGAUGAGCCUNNGUAAGAUUAGCUUGUUGGAGAGGUAAAGGCUCACCAAGGCGANGAUCUUUAGCGGGUCUGAGAGGACGAUCCGCCACAUUGGGACUGAGACACGGCCCAGACUCCUACGGGAGGCAGCAGUGGGGAAUAUUGGACAAUGGGNGNAAGCCUGAUCCAGCCAUACCGCGUGUGUGAAGAAGGCCCUAGGGUUGUAAAGCACUUUAAGUUGGGAAGAAAAGUUAUUGGCUAAUACCCAAUAACCGUGACAUUACCUUCAGAAUAAGGACC
rnacentral:rRNA from 1 species